UAAAGUUAAUGAUUUAUGCCGACUCAAUAUUAUGGAUAAUUAUUUAGCUUCAUCUGAGAGGCAUAUCGGAAAUAUCAUAAAGGUUAAAAUCCAAGAAGAGCAGCAAACACUUAUAUGAUUUUAAAAUUGAAAUCAUAUUGUAUCUAACCGGUUCAAGAGCAUAAAUACAAUUUCACAUACAUUUCUAA